GACGAACGCUGGCGGCGUGCUUAACACAUGCAAGUCGAGCGGUAAGGCCCUUUCGGGGGUACACGAGCGGCGAACGGGUGAGUAACACGUGGGUGACCUGCCCUCAGCUCUGGGAUAAGCCCGGGAAACUGGGUCUAAUACUGGAUAUUACUCUGCGGUGCAUGCCGUGGGGUGGAAAGCCUUGUGCGGCUGGGGAUGGGCCCGCGGCCUAUCAGCUUGUUGGUGGGGUGAUGGCCACCAAGGCGACGACGGGUAGCCGGCCUGAGAGGGCGACCGGCCACACUGGGACUGAGACACGGCCCAGACUCCUACGGGAGGCAGCAGUGGGGAAUCUUGCGCAAUGGGCGAAAGCCUGACGCAGCGACGCCGCGUGAGGGAUGACGGCCUCGGGUUGUAAACCUCUUUCAGCUCCGACGAAGCGGAAGUGACGGUAGGAGCAGAAGAAGCACCGG
rnacentral:rRNA from 1 species